UGAUCUUAAUUGAGUGUGUUGGUGGGUGAACUUGGUGUGUUAAGGCGUUUAAAAGUUUGAUUAAAGAAUUUUCUCAUUCUAGAACCACUUUGAUUAUUGAAUUUUACUUAACUUGUAAUUUUCAUAUUUUGAUAAGAUUGAGAAGUGUGAUUCUUUGCUCUUAGCUUGGCUUCUUAGUGCUAAAUGUGUGAAAUAGUUGCAUUGGGUUAACUUGAGCUUAAAUUGCUAGUUCAUUUGUUGAGUUUACUCUUGCAAUUUUCAUUUACAAAGUCUUAAUCUUCUUUGCUUCCAUCUACUUAUCCCUUUUCAAGUUUUGAAUUUUUCAGGUACCAAUGGUUAAGAAAAC
rnacentral:lncRNA from 1 species